CAGCCGUAAACUAUGCGCGUUAGGUGUAUCGGUGACCACGAGUUACCGAGGUGCCGAAGGGAAACCGUGAAACGUGCCGCCUGGGAAGUACGGUCGCAAGGCUGAAGCUUAAAGGAAUUGGCGGGGGAGCACCACAACAGGUGGAGCCUGCGGUUUAAUUGGACUCAACGCCGGGAAGCUCACCGGAUAGGACAGCAGAAUGAUUGCCGGGCUGAAGACCCUGCAUGACUAGCUGAGAGGAGGUGCAUGGCGUCAGUGACU
rnacentral:rRNA from 1 species